AUUGAACGCUGGCGGCAGGCCUAACACAUGCAAGUCGAGCGGAUGACGGGAGCUUGCUCCUUGAUUCAGCGGCGGACGGGUGAGUAAUGCCUAGGAAUCUGCCUGGUAGUGGGGGACAACGUUUCGAAAGGAACGCUAAUACCGCAUACGUCCUACGGGAGAAAGCAGGGGACCUUCGGGCCUUGCGCUAUCAGAUGAGCCUAGGUCGGAUUAGCUAGUAGGUGAGGUAAUGGCUCACCUAGGCGACGAUCCGUAACUGGUCUGAGAGGAUGAGCAGUCACAAUGGAACUGAGACACGGUCCAGACUCCUACGGGAGGCAGCAGUGGGGAAUAUUGGACAAUGGGCGAAAGCCUGAUCCAGCCAUGCCGCGUGUGUGAAGAAGGUCUUCGGAUUGUAAAGCACUUUAAGUUGGGAGGAAGGGCAGUAAGCGAAUACCUUGCUGUUUUGACGUUACCGACAGAAUAAGCACCGGCUAACUCUGUGCCAGCCGCCGCCGUAAGAC
rnacentral:rRNA from 1 species